rnacentral:rRNA from 1 species
AUAAGGGCUAAUGGUGGAUACCUAGGCAAGCCGAAUUCCAGCACACUGGCGGCCGUUACUAG